GACGAACGCUGGCGGCGUGCUUAACACAUGCAAGUCGAACGGAAAGGCCCUGCUUUUGUGGGGUGCUCGAGUGGCGAACGGGUGAGUAACACGUGAGUAACCUGCCCUUGACUUUGGGAUAACUUCAGGAAACUGGGGCUAAUACCGGAUAGGAGCUCCUGCUGCAUGGUGGGGGUUGGAACGUUUCGGCGGUUGGGGAUGGACUCGCGGCUUAUCAGCUUGUUGGUGGGGUAGUGGCUUACCAAGGCUUUGACGGGUAGCCGGCCUGAGAGGGUGACCGGCCACAAUGGUACUGAGAGACGGCCCAGACUCCUACGGGAGGCAGCAGUGGGGAAUAUUGCACAAUGGGCGGAAGCCUGAUGCAGCAACGCCGCGUGCGGGAUGACGGCCUUCGGGGUGUAAACCGCUUUCGCCUGUGACGAAGCGGGAGUGACGGUAAUGGGUAAAGAAGCACCGGCUAACUACGUG
rnacentral:rRNA from 1 species